UGAAUACGAGACGCUAAGGCGUCGAAGUAGUGUAUGUCAUACUUCCAAGAAAAGCUUGCACUGUCAUAAGUAAAAAAUGCCUGUACCAUAACCGACACAGGUGGGUAGGUAGAGUAUACUAAGGGGCGCGAGAUAACUCUCUCUAAGGAACUCGGCAAAAUAACUCCGUAACUUCGGGAGAAGGAGUACCUUAUUCUAUAAGGUUGCAAUAACAAGAUCCAAGCAACUGUUUAUCAAAAACACAGGUCUCCGCUAAGUCGUAAGACGAUGUAUGGGGGCUGACGCCUGCCCAGUGCCAGAAGGUUAAAGAAGUCGGUUAGCAUUAGCGAAGCUGGUAACUGAAGCCCUGGUGAACGGCGGCCGUAACCAUAACGGUCCUAAGGUAGCGAAAUUCCUUGUCGGGUAAGUUCCGACCCGCACGAAAGGCGUAAUGAUUUGGAUACUGUCUCGGAGAGGGGCUCGGUGAAAUAGACUUGUCUGUAAGAUGCGGACUACCUGCACCAGGACAGAAAGACCCUAUGAAGCUUUACUGUAACUUGAAAUUGAAAUUGGACUUUAUUCGCGCAGUAUAGGUGGGAGGUGUUGAUUAUAAUCUUGCGGGAUUAUUGGAGCCAUCAGUGAGAUACCACUCUUGUAAUGUUAGAUUUCUAACUUUGAAUCAUUAUCUGGUCAAAGGACAGUUUCAGGCGGGCAGUUUGACUGGGGCGGUCGCCUCCCAAACGGUAACGGAGGCGUACAAAGGUUUCCUCUGAACGGGUAGAAAUCGUAUCUAGAGUGUAAAGGCAUAAGGAAGCUUGACUGUGAGACCUACAAGUCGAACAGGGACGAAAGUCGGUCUUAGUGAUCUGACGGUACUGAGUGGAAAGGCCGUCACUCAACGGAUAAAAGUUACUCUAAGGAUAACAGGCUGAUCUCCCCCAAGAGUUCACAUCGACGGGGAGGUUUGGCACCUCGAUGUCGGCUCAUCGCAUCCUGGGGCGGUAGUACGUCCCAAGGGUUGGGCUGUUCGCCCAUGAAAGCGGUACGCGAGCUGGGUUCAGAACGUCGUGAGACAGUUCGGUCCAUAUCCGGUGUAGGCGUUAGAAUAUUGAGAGGAGCCUUCUUUAGUACGAGAGGACCGAGAAGGACAUACCUCUGGUGUACCAGUUAUCGUGCCAACGGUAAACGCUGGGUAGCUAUGUAUGGAGUGGAUAACCGCUGAAAGCAUCUAAGUGGGAAGCCCACCUCAAGAUAAG
rnacentral:rRNA from 1 species